rnacentral:lncRNA from 1 species
UCCCCAGACUGAGGGACCGGUUCCCGUACGCAGGAUUUGCUGGAGGGUCCUGGGGGACCGAUCCCUCAAGGGAGAGACCGGUCCCUCCACCCGAAAACUGCCCAGACUAGGGCAGUGCAUAGAAUGCAAUGUUGAGGGGCCUAUGUGGAUAUUGUUACCUGGGAGGGCUUUUAGGCCAUUUUCUCCCUCUCUUUCCCUCACUUCCUACGCUCUCACACUCUCUAGAAAGAGAAGAAGAAGAAGAAACAAGAGGAGAAGAAGGAGAAGGAGAAGAAGGAGAGAUUGCUUAGUGGACUUGGGACUUCUUCCUCAACCUCUCCUCUCACCCUUGGAGGCUUGAGCUUGCUAGUGGAGCUUUGUGGAGGAUCAAACUUUAACCCUAGAGGAUUUUGAGCUUGGUUUGGAGCAUCCUAGAGGUAUGUGACUAGUUUUCUUCCUCUAGAUCCUAGUUUUGGAGUUUUAAACUAGAUGAAACCCUAGAUUUGAAUUUUAGGAUUUAUUUUGGAGAUUUUUG